AGAGGUCGCUGUGAGACGGUACCCGCGUCCCGGAGUCCCCCCCGCGCCCCGGAGUCCACCCGCGCGGGUCCACUUCUCCAUCCCUGCUUUCGACCCCGGCCCCUGCAGCGGGGGAAGUUCCUGGGGCGGUGACUGGGACCAGGCCGGGUUUUAGGCGGGCGCAGAUUUCCGGGCUAACUUUCCUCGCCGUCUCAGCGCGGGGAGGGGGAAAUGGGAAACCCGGCGAGAGCGGCGGAGCUUCCCAGCCGCACACUUCCUCCAUCCAGCCGUUUGUCUCGCCGGGGAGGGCCCUGGCAGCCAAGCCGGCAUUCCCACUGGUUAUCCGACCUUGUGCUCUUGCGGGGGGUGGAGACCUUACCUCCAGCUCAGAGUGCCUCCUCCCAUCCCCUGUGUUCUCUAGGCCUCCCCAGACUUUGCCUUUUAGCCUUCCAGUGAAACAAGUUCUGUAUCCAAGAUAUACAAUUAAGUGGACAAAGCAGAUUGCAGAAAGUCUUUUGGUAGCUCACAAGGGGACAUCAAAGAUGACAAAGAGGGGUGGAAGAAGACAGAAUCAAUGUGAGGAGCCUGGAACAGGGCUCUGAAUUGUCCUCCCACAAUGAAAUCACUUGGCUAGAGCUGAGCCACGAAUUUGACUCUGAGCAUCUAGGAUGAAAAAGAAGAACUGGCAGCUAUGCCAUCUCUGCCCCUCGGGACUGACUACUUUGGCCCAGAUUCCCCAACAAUGAAAUGGGAAUAAUGAUCCCAGGUCGCAUUUCUCUCUGGGCUUACCCUGGGAAUCAAAUGAUUGAGUUUUGGAUCUCACUCUGUUGCCCAGGCUGGAAUGCAGUGAUACGAUCAUGACUCAGUGCAGCCUCAAACUCCUGAGUUCAAGUAGCCUUCCCACCUCAGCUUUCUGAGUAGCUGGGACUACAGAAUGCCCCACCCCACUUAGUCCAUAGUGGUGCCCACCUGUGGUUAAUGGAGCUGAGGCUGCUGAAACAAAGGGAGGAAGUCUGUCAGGCAUAUGUGGAACCCAAAAGAGGAACUUCAUCAACUGUCAUGGACAGCUCUGCCACUUUGUGACCCUGUGGAUUUUUUGGGAAGUGUUUUUGUGGUUCACCAGUCUCUCAUUUGGCAAGGCCACUUGUCCCGGGUUGGUCUUCUUUAUUGGUGGAAAGUACGGCUGGGAGAUUUGGAAUGGUUGCAGAUUGACUUGACUCUCGGCAGGAACUGCCACCAUGAGCUUUUGGGGAAAGACCUCAAGCUGUGGUUUGUUGCUGAGGAUUGUGGGAUUCCUUCAAAUCUUGGGGAACGUUUUGAGUCAUCACUGGCAGCAGGUUUCUGUUGACAACUUGAGCAACCUCAGAAUGAAGAAGCUGUGUUCAUCUCUCACAUGAAUAUGACUUUGGGUAAAUCAUCUCGAAAUCUGAACUCAUGGUUGUGAUCCACACUCCUCCCAAGUUCUAAUUUUUAGUGUAAGCCUUUUUCUUCUCAUUUUUUCUUCUUUGUGCAUCUCUUAAGGAGAUUUUUUACAUCUCAUAAUUAAAACAUUUAUUUCUUC